CAUUUUUUUUUAAAAAAAAAACCCACCAACACUCCCCUUCUUCUUCCUCAAACGGUAAAACCCCCCAAUUUUUCCUUCUUCUUUCCUCCCAAACCCACGAACGCCGUUUCCUUCACUGUCUCAUCAGACCCGCUGCCACGCGAGGGAGAUUCCUCUCAAUCGCAGCACCUCACCGCCAUUCAGAUCCGAACGCCGCACUUCCUUCACUGUCUCAUCAGACCCGCCGCUGUGCGAGGGAGAUUCCUCGUCAAUCGCAGCACCUCACCGACUCAGAUCUGUCUAGCUGCCGUUCCCUCGCAUCUCACCGGCUCAGAUUCGACCAGCUGCCGUUUCUUCACACUUUGCCAGACCCAGAAUCGUCGUCGGCUGUCUUCCUUGUCGCCGUUGGACCUGUUCUAGGUGAGUUUUAGCGAAACUUGGAAUUUAGAGGGAGCACGUUAAGGGAAAUUGGAAGUGACUUUCAUCCUUUGGUGUUAGGUUCGCUACUUCUAGUUGUUGUUAUAGUUUGGCCGUCGGAGCUUCGUUAUCCAUAAAGUUUCGAUUGAGGAAAAGGUAAAGAUGUACCGGCGAUGGUGCAGCAGAAUUCGUGAUCGUGUCACUGGGACUAGACUUUUUCGUUUCCGCAUCUUAAAAUUUGAGUCCUUAUUUUCCCCUUGAUAUUUAGUUUUACUGUUUGAAAAUUAUUUCUAAAGAUUAUCUCUUUUAUAUACUUUUGUUAGUUUUUAAGAAUUUGGGUACCCUAUUAAUGUUUUAACAAUUGCAUUAAAUAAAUGUCUUUUGAACUUUU